rnacentral:lncRNA from 1 species
GCCUCAAUCUUGUAAAUUAGGUUUCCUUUCUCAACGGUUUCGUACAUUUCAAAAUACUCUGCUGCACAACGUGCAGCAACUACAUUGUAUGCAUUGAGAGUGACAGUGAUACCAUAACAAAACUUAGCACAUACUUCAAAUUAAGGCAGCAGGUCCACCAGGCAUAUCAUGGAUAACGAUUUCAUCAUUGUUUUCCUCGUUUGUCAUGGAAAGUACCAGUUGCUGCAAUUGGGCACUCUUGGAUAAUAGGGGGAACUACAGAAAUGAGUUAUGGUAUUAACAACUAAGAAAUAAAAAAUUGCUCCAGCAGAUAGGAAAACAUAAUUAAGGACAUACUUCAAAUUAAGGCAGCAGGUCCACCAGGCAUAUCAUGGAUAACGAUUUCAUCAUUGUUUUCCUCGUUUGUCAUGGAAAGUACCAGUUGCUGCAAUUGGGCACUCUUGGAUAAUAGGGG